AGCCGAGUAGCUAAGCUUGGUAAGGCACUGGACUUAAGAUCCAGGGAGUUAGUCUCCUCAUGGGUUCAAAUCCCGUCUCGGCUA
rnacentral:tRNA from 1 species